UGGGGAAUUUUGGACAAUGGGGGAAACCCUGAUCCAGCCAUGCCGCGUGCAGGAAGAAGGCCUUCGGGUUGUAAACUGCUUUUGUCAGGGAAGAAAAGCGAAGGGUUAAUACCCCUUUGUGCUGACGGUACCUGAAGAAUAAGCACCGGCUAACUACGUGCCAGCAGCCGCGGUAAUACGUAGGGUGCGAGCGUUAAUCGGAAUUACUGGGCGUAAAGCGUGCGCAGGCGGUCUUGUAAGACUGAUGUGAAAUCCCCGGGCUUAACCUGGGAAUGGCAUUGGUAACUGCAAGACUUGAGUGUGGCAGAGGGGGGUAGAAUUUUGCGUGUAGCAGUGAAAUGCGUAGAUAUGCAAAGGAAUACCGAUGGCGAAGGCAGCCCCCUGGGCCUGCACUGACGCU
rnacentral:rRNA from 1 species